AGCUGCUUGGCGCAGCGGAAGCGCGCCGGGCUCAUAACCCGGAGGUAAGAUAUGCUGGCGCUCAAAGUUCGAGUCUUGAUACUAACAAUUCAUAGGACUCUGGAUCGAAACCAGAAGCAGCUA